rnacentral:rRNA from 1 species
GACGGAGGGGGCAAGCGUUUUCCGGCAUCACUGGGCGAAAAGCGCGUGUCGGCGGUGGUGGGCGUCGGUGCUGAAAGCGCCCGGCUUAACCGGGCGAGGCGUGCCGAUACGAUGCGACUGGAGGCAGGCAGAGGGCGGCGGAAUUCCGGGUGUAGCGGUGAAAUGCGUAGAGCCCCGGAGGAACGCCGGUGGGGGAGCCGGCCGCCUGGGCCUGACCUGACGCUGAGACGCGCCAGCGUGGGGAGCAAACCGG